GGGCCCGUUGGUCAAGCGGUUAAGACACCGCCCUUUCACGGCGGUAACACGGGUUCGAAUCCCGUACGGGUCA
rnacentral:tRNA from 1 species